CAGAGCACAGCCUCUAUUGCCUUCCUGUUAAGCGAGCAGGAUUCAGACACCAGGAACCCUCCGGUCCCACUGGCCACGUGCUCAGGGCUGGGUAAUUUCCUCCCGCUCAAGGGUAGGAACAUACCUGCGCUUAAAACUGAGGCUGCCGCACCUCCGCAGACGUAGACAACGAAUUCCUGGAGCCCAAGGUCGGCCGGGGUUGGGUUCCUGUCGCCGCACGCGUGGCCCGCCCGAAACCCGCUACAAAGUAGCGGCGUGUCUGCCCUAGGGAGGCAAAGCGCAAACUUGUUACCGCGCCGGGACCUGCCCCGGGAUUCUCCCAGCGGCUCCGCAGGACGCAGCGCCUGUGCCUCGCGCGGCCCUGGGACGGGCACGGCCGUCCGCCCCCUGGGCCGCCGAGGGCUGCUUUACCCCUCCGUUCUGGCCGCGGGCAGCAGAGGAGCUCGGGGCGGGCAAAGCUCGAGGGGACACGGGGCGAGCCCAGACCCUGCCUGGGAGCCCUCCCCGCCGGAGACCAAAGGGCAGAAACGCACUCACAGUGCAACUCCGAGGGAUAAACUGGCCGACGAUCGCCGCCAGGCCAGAAGACCAAGAAGAAGGCUCGCGGCGGGAACUGAAGUAUUCAGCACGCCUUCAUCAGGUGUGUACUCUGUGCCAGGCAAUCUUCUAAUCCUUAAAUGGACGAAACAAAGGCCUCCCUUGGACUGACAUUUUUAAUGAAGAAUAAAAACCCAUAAUGAAAUAUAAAAAUAUUAACGUUAUAAGAGCUAAGGGAAAAAACAUGUGUUACAACUUGAAAAUACAAAAAUAGGAAAUCAUCUUUCUCUGUGGACGAAUGAAACCCCUGAUUCUAAGAAACAAAGAAACAAAACUCAUCAUGACUGGUGUUCUGUACUCUUUGGAAAAUACGUUUUACUGUAGAAAUGACUAAAUGCGAUGAAAGACUCUUUACCAGAAGCAGUGGCUGGUUGGCGGCGCCUGUACGCCUGAGGAGCACCCUUUUUGUGUCCAUGUUUGAUAAAGCAGAAGAGACCUAAAGAGACAAGGGGCGGCCGGGCGCGGUGGCUCACUCCUGUAAUCCCAGCACUUUGGGAGGCCGAGGCGGGCAGAUCAUCUGAGAUCGGGAGUUCGAGACCAGCCUGACCAACAUGGAGAAACCCCGUCUAUACUAAAAAUACACAAUUAACCGGUUAUAGUGGCGCAUGCCUGUAAUGCCAGCUACUUGGGAGGCUGAAGCAGGAAAAUCGCUUGAGGCAGAGGUUGCGGUGAACCGAGACUGCGCUAUUGCACUCCAGCGGGCAACAAGAGCCAAACUCUGUCUCAAAAACAAACAAACAAACAAACAAACAAAAAAAAAACCACAAGGGCCAUCGCUCUGGGGCGUGGGACAUAUGGUCCGCAGUUGGGAUACUAACUGUUGUAUGGAUGGGGGAGUGGUCCUCAAACCCUGGAGCUUCUCAGUCCCUGCCUCUUUCAACCUCUAAAUGGGCCCACUGCUUUUCCCUUCCCACUGUUCUGCCGGCUGGAGCACCCCCAGCACCAGCAGCGCGGCUCCCACGCCUCUGGUCUGGGCUCUGCCAGCCCCACGGGUCUAAGCUCUCCCCAGGCCAUUAUUUUUUGUCUCCUCUUUCUUCAUUGAGGUCCUCUCUCUGUCACUUGCUCUUUUGCCUGGCUCAAGACAUGGGUUUAAACACUGUUUAUACUACCCCUUGCUAAUGUUGACUCACUACCCCAUAUCUUUUUCUUUUUUCUUUUUUUUUCCAAGUAGCACUCUUUGAGAUGUCCUUUUAUUGAUGUUUCUUUACACGUUGUUUUUACAUGCAUUACAGUGUGAUGAACAUAUCCAUCCACUGAAAUAACAUUAUUCUCAACUACGCAAAAGAAAGCAAUACUCUUAGAAGAAUCCUUUCUGCAUAUGUCUUUAGACACUUUUACAUUCAUAACACUGGUCACCAACCCAUUUCUAUGUUUAAGUAACUUGACUUUUUCUCCUUCUCCCUUUCUCUACCUAUUAAAUUCACAUUUUAUUUUACCCCAAGCUACUUUUACCUAGUACAGUGUCUAUGUUUUUCACUGUAAGAUUGAGUAAGGCCAGAGAUGAGGAGAAUAGUGAUUGUGAAAUAAAAUGAAAGAUAUACUCAAUUCUUGGGAGCAAUAGCCUUGUUGUUGGGUUAUGUUUAUUCAUUUAUAAAACUAAUGAGAACCUACCAUAGUCAAGCACUGUAGUAGACCUGAGAGAAAAUAGUGAAUAAAACCCCAAAUCAAGGACCUUGCCCUUGUGGAACUUUUAGUAUAGUAUAUGGAACAGGCAUUGAUACACGAAUCCUGUAUAAAUGUAAAAUUACCACUUAAGAGCUGGAGUGGUGGUGUCAGGGACCUAGCUGUCAGUUUGAGGGAAGGAUGAUUAAGCACAAAAUUGAAGAUCAUUUUAUAAAGCAAAAGAGUGGAGCUUGGGGUAUAGGUAGAGGAAAGAGGAUGUACAGUGUGUGUGCUCUAGGAAGGAGCUCACUGUAUCCAUGGACAUGUAGAAAGGCUGCCAUGACUUUCUACACAAAAAGCCAAGGGGUGAGGUGGGGUGGAGAGAGAUAUAGGAUAAGGCAUGAUAUAAUCUGGGCUACAGAGGGGAUGUGGCUGGAGAUGCUGGUGACUGCCAGACCAUGCUGGACUUUGUAGACCAUGUUUAAAAUGUCCAUAAAUGAUGCUCAUUAAUAAUGUGUUGUAUAAAUGCAUGUCAAUAAAAGUUGAUGUUUGCAAGACCAGCAUGUGUUCAGGCCAGCAUGUUCACAGCUAAUAAUAGCUAACCAUUAUUGCACACUUAUUUCAUUCUUUGCACUCCUUUAACUGCUCUGUAUAGAUUAUCUCAUUUAAUUUUUCCAGCUACUGUACCCAAUAGGCAAGAUUAAAUUCCUCAUUUUAGGCAGAGUGUGGUGGCACAUACCAGUAAUUUCAGUGUUUGGGAGACCGAUGUAGGAGGAUCACUUGAGGCCAGGAGUUCAAGACCAGCCUGAGAAAAAUUAGCCUAUUGUGGUGGCAUGUGCCUGUAGUCUCAGCUACUCAGGACGCUGAGGUGAGAGGCAGUGAGCUAUGAUAGUACCACUGCAUGCCUCGGUGACAGAGCAAGAUCCCAUCUCUAAAUUUUUUUUUUUUUUUUUUUGAGACGGAGUCUCGCUCUGUUGCCCAGGCUGGAGAGCAGUGCUGUAAUGUCUGCUCACUGCAACCUCCUCCUCCCGGGUUUAAGCGAUUCUCCAGCCUCAGCCUCCUGAGUAGCUGGGAUUACAGGUGCGCAUCACCAUGCCUGGAUAAUUUUUGUAUUUUUAGUAGAGACAAGGUUUCACCAUGUUGGUCAGGCUGGUCUCGAACUCCUGACUUCAUGAUCCACCCGCCUCAGCCUCCCAAAGUGCUGGGAUUACAGGGGUGAGUCACCACACCUGACCUCUAAAAAUUUUUUAAAAAAUCUUCAUUUUGCCCUUGAGGAUCCACAUAUUGCUUUUUUUUUUUUUUGAGAUCUAGUCUAUUCCCAGUCCAAUAGUGUAGAUGGUUAGUAAACAUAUUAGGAGUUCUGAGCACAUCUAAUCAGUGUAGUAGCUCGUGACUCAAAUGCCACUCUAACAGUUGCACAUGUGUGCACAAACACAAAUUUAGAAAAUUGAAAUUACAGCUGCAAUGGCAAGACGGUAGACACAGAAUUCCAUGGCAGCAUGGAAUUCUCAAUUUCUGUAACUUUGAAGGUGCUUUUCUUUAAAAAAUUGUGGGUCUUAAUUUGGAAUGCUUUAAAAUACAGAAUUAUAUUAAGGCAGUCAUAUUGGAAGAUGCAUGUUGACCUGCUGAACCUAAAUAAUACAGCUUCCUCUCCUGUAGGAUUUGAUGAUAUGGAUUUUAAAUAGUGCUUUUUCUUUAAAAAAAGUUCCUUAAAAUGAUUACAUAUUAUCCAUUAUGCUUAGCAUCCAAUGUAUUCUAUGAAAUCACUAUAUAAAUUAAAGUAAUAAUUUAUACAGUAUGGUCAGACUAAUUAGCAUAAGGCACUCAGUUGAAAGUAGAGCUGAAAUAAAUGAUUGAACUCUAUUAAAGAAAAUUGAGUGAAGAGACAGACCAGCUUCUUCUGUAGCAUGAUUUUAAUGAGGCUGCUGAGUUGAGUUCUGUUCUGUAUCAAAAAGGGAACACAAAUCUCUUGAGGUUCUAUUUCUGGCUCUACCAAAGGCUUUGCUCUUAUACCUAGAGCAAGAUGGAACCUGUUACUUUUUUUCAAUCUGCAAAAUGCAGGCAAUGUUUUUAGCUUUUUUCACAGGAGUAGCAGGAUUAAUGAGUACCACAAAUGGCUUUCCCUAUUUUGUAACUGCAAAUGCAUUCUUGUUGCCAUAUUUUCAUGAGAAAUGAACAUCUGCUGGUUUUUUCCAAUAAGGCUAAAACUUUCAAAUGUGGAAUAUGUAGGUUAUGAGCUCCACUUUAAAAUUCCAGUUCCAAGUUUAAACAAAAGGAGAAUAAGAUAAAUAUUUCAAGUACUAACAAAACAGUAAAGAAGGAAGUGAAAGUGUUCUUAUAAAUGGAGAUCUUUUUUUUUUUUUUGGAAAUCUAUUUAUUUUCGGUAAGAUUAGUAAGAGUAUCUGAAAUAUGUUAUUAAAGCUUAUGUUGAACGAGGCUGGUUUGCUGGAAAAGAUAAUUUCAAAAGUAAAUUGGUAUGUCCAUGGGAAUUAAUAUGGCAAGCCUGUUGAGAAGUUUGUAAUUUGUUAGUUUUUAUUUUAUUUUAUUUAGAGACAGAGCCUUGCUAUGUUUCCCAGGCUAGAGUGCAGUGGCUAUUCACAGGCAUGAUCAUAGCACGCUACAGCCCUGAACUCCUGCGCUUGGAUGGUGGGCAUGUCUUGCCAGAUAGCAGUAACUCGAGCAGACCCUGCGAAUUACCCUAUGUUUCUUGGUGAAUGUUUGUUCAGUGUUCUGAGGUAUGGACCCCAGGAAUGGCUAAAUCAGAUGUUUACACCAUACCUGUAAGAACACCAGGACCCUGACUCGUUCCUUGGAACACAAGUCAUACAAGGAAGCGAAGGCCUUUGUUUUGAGCGGAGUAGAGGCUACUAAGUAGAGGCUGCCAAACGAAAAUACCUUUAUAACUUACAUGUUAUUCACAAAAUAGCAGUGGUUUUCCUGUCCAGCAUGCCACUCCUGGAUGCCCGGUAUGUAAGCCCCCGGAAUAAAACUCCAUGUCUU
rnacentral:lncRNA from 1 species